rnacentral:sRNA from 1 species
AGCCCGUGAACCUGGUGGAACCGGAAACGGCCACGAGAAAGCGCAAGCUUCUAGAACAGGUGAACACGGGCUUU